ACUGUUUCACUCAAAUGAGUCAAAGAGAAUAAAAUAAUCUCUUAGCAAAUCUUCUUGCCUCAAUCUUGUGUUUCUCUUUCUCACUUUUACAGGAGUUGAAUGAAGAGUCAUUGGUGACUGGGAUCAAAUGCAGUGCGAAAACUUCCAAGUCAGGGAAAAAGACAGAAUUAUGUGAAGAGUCAUCAAUGGCGAGGAUCAAAUGCAGUGCAGAAACUUCCACAUCAGGGAAAGAGACAUGUCGCCAUGAAGUACACAGUGCUGUUGUUUCCAGUUUGCAUUCUUGCGAUGAAUGUAGUGGUCCUAUGUCAAGUAGAAAAUGAACACUUUAACUU